GCACUGCAAGCGGGAGAGAGCCAGCGUGCUGGCCGCCGAAGGAGCAACCGCCCCGGAAACUCUCAGGCACCAAGAACCGCUUGUUGGUG
rnacentral:ncRNA from 2 species